AUACGUAGGGGGCGAGCGUUGUCCGGAAUGAUUGGGCGUAAAGGGCGCGUAGGCGGCCCGGUAAGUCUGGAGUGAAAGUCCUGUUUUUAAGAUGGGAAUUGCUUUGGAUACUGUCGGGCUUGAGUGCAGGAGAGGUAAGUGGAAUUCCCAGUGUAGCGGUGAGCUGCGUAGAGAUUGGGAGGAACACCAGUGGCGAAGGCGACUUACUGGACUGUAACUGACGCUGAGGCGCGAAAGUGUGGGGAGCAAACAGGAUUAGAUACCCUGGUAGUCCACACUGUAAACGAUGAAUGCUAGGUGUAGGGGGUAUCGACCCCUUCUGUGCCGCAGUCAACACAAUAAGCAUUCCGCCUGGGGAGUACGGCCGCAAGGUUGAAACUCAAAGGAAUUGGCGGGG
rnacentral:rRNA from 1 species